rnacentral:rRNA from 1 species
GCUUAACGCGAAGAACCUUACCCACACUUGACAUGCCUCUUUUGGCUUUCAGAGAUGAUUGCCUUCGGUUCGGCCGGGGAGUGCACAGGUGCUGCAUGGCUGUCGUCAGCUCGUGUCGUGAGAUGUUGGGUUAAGUCCCGCAACGAGCGCAACCCUUAUCGUAUGUUGCCAGCAUUUAGUUGGGCACUCGUGCGAGACUGCCGGUGAUAAGCCGGAGGAAGGCGGGGACGACGUCAAGUCAUCAUGGCCCUUACGUGUGGGGCUAGAAACGUGCUACAAUGGGAGUGACAGUGAGCAGCAAGGUCGCGAGGCCAAGCUAAUCUCCAAAAGCUCUCUCAGUUCAGAUUGUAGUCUGCAACUCGACUACAUGAAGUUGGAAUCGCUAGUAAUCGCAAAUCAGCAUGUUGCGGUGAAUACGUUCCCGGGUCUUAUACACACCGAGGUCGGUGGGGGAGGGCAAGGGCACGACAG